rnacentral:lncRNA from 1 species
GACCCAUUACUUAUAGUUUAAGAAAAAUAGACCAAAACACAAAAACUUAACACUGUGCAAUGAACCGUGAAAAUGAGGUCACGGUCAAAUAAAACCUGUGCGACUGCCAUAAAGUUCAUAAAAUAUUUCCAUACACCAAUUAUAGUUGACCUAUGGCAUAUAGUAAUAGAUAAAAAGACCAAAACUCAAAAACUUAACUUUUUUUGACCACUGAACCAUGAAAAUGAGGUCAGUGUCUCAUGACAUCUCCCCGCUAGACAUGUACACCUUACAAUCAUUCCAUACAACAAAUAUAGUAGACCUAUUACAUAUAGUAUGAGAAAAACAGACCAAAACACAAAAAUUUAACUAUAACCACUGAACCAUGAAAAUGAGGUCAAGGUCAGAUGACACCUGCCAGUUGGACAUGUACACCUUACAGUCCUUCCAUACACUGAAUAUACUAGCCCUAUUGCUUAUAGUAUCUGAGAUAUGGACUUGACCACCAAAACUUAACCUUGUUC